rnacentral:rRNA from 1 species
CGCUGGCGGUAGGCCUAACACAUGCAAGUCGAACGGCAGCACAGUAAGAGCUUGCUCUUCCGGGUGGCGAGUGGCGGACGGGUGAGGAAUACAUCGGAAUCUACUUUUUCGUGGGGGAUAACGUAGGGAAACUUACGCUAAUACCGCAUACGACCUACGGGUGAAAGCAGGGGAUCUUCGGACCUUGCGCGAUUGAAUGAGCCGAUGUCGGAUUAGCUAGUUGGCGGGGUAAAGGCCCACCAAGGCGACGAUCCGUAGCUGGUCUGAGAGGAUGAUCAGCCACACUGGAACUGAGACACGGUCCAGACUCCUACGGGAGGCAGCAGUGGGGAAUAUUGGACAAUGGGCGCAAGCCUGAUCCAGCCAUACCGCGUGGGUGAAGAAGGCCUUCGGGUUGUAAAGCCCUUUUGUUGGGAAAGAAAAGCAGCAGGUUAAUACCCCGCUGUUCUGACGGUACCCAAAGAAUAAGCACCGGCUAACUUCGUG